GUGGGGAAUAUUGGACAAUGGGCGCAAGCCUGAUCCAGCAAUGCCGCGUGGAUGAAGAAGGUUUUCGGAUUGUAAAGUCCUUUCGGCGGGGACGAUGAUGACGGUACCCGCAGAAGAAGCCCCGGCUAACUUCGUGCCAGCAGCCGCGGUAAUACGAAGGGGGCUAGCGUUGCUCGGAAUGACUGGGCGUAAAGGGCGCGUAGGCGGAUGGGACAGUCAGAUGUGAAAUUCCUGGGCUCAACCUGGGGGCUGCAUUUGAUACGGCUUGUCUAGAGUGAGGAAGAGGGUCGUGGAAUUCCCAGUGUAGAGGGGAAAUUCGUAGAUAUUGGGAAGAACACCGGUGGCGAAGGCGGCGACCUGGUCCUUUUACUGACGCUGAGGCGCGAAAGCGUGGGGAGCAAACAGG
rnacentral:rRNA from 1 species